rnacentral:rRNA from 1 species
AGCGAACGUUUGCGGCGGGCUUAACACAUGCAAGUCGAACGAGAAUCCCUUCGGGGAGGAAAGUGGCGCACGGGUGCGUAACACGUGGAUAACCAACCCAUUGGUUUGGGACAACACCGGGAAACUGGUGCUAAUACCAGAUGUGUCGCAGCUGUCUUCAGGCGGUUGCGAGAAAGGCCCGCAAGGGUCGCCAACGGACGGGUCCGCGUCCCAUCAGCUAGUUGGUGAGGUAAUGGCUCACCAAGGCAAAGACGGGUAGCUGGUCUGAGAGGAUGAUCAGCCACACUGGAACUGAGACACGGUCCAGACUCCUACGGGAGGCAGCAGUGGGGAAUAUUGCGCAAUGGGCGAAAGCCUGACGCAGCCACGCCGCGUGAGCGAUGAAGGUCUUCGGAUCGUAAAGCUCUGUGGGGGGAGAAGAAGAAAGCCGGUGAAGAGCCGGCCCUGACGGUAUCCCCUUACGCAAGCACCGGCGUAACUCCGU